rnacentral:miRNA from 1 species
AAAUUUCACCUGGUCUAACAUGCA